rnacentral:rRNA from 1 species
AACGAACGCUGGCGGCAUGCCUAACACAUGCAAGUCGAACGAGAACUUCGGGUCUUGUGGCGCACGGGUGCGUAACGCGUGGGAACCUGCACUUAGGUUCGGAAUAACUCACCGAAAGGGGUGUUAAUACCGGAUAAUGUCUUAGGACCAAAGAUUUAUCGCCUUUGGAUGGGCCCGCGUUGGUUUAGCCAGUUGGUAGGGUAAAAGCCUGCCAUGGCGACGAUCCAUAGCUGGUCUGGGAGGAUGAUCAGCCACACUGGGACUGAGACACGGCCCAGACUCCUACGGGAGGCAGCAGUAGGGAAUAUUGGACGAUGGGCGAAAGCCUGAUCCAGCAAUGCCGCGUGAGUGAUGAAGGCCUUAGGGUUGUAAAGCUCUUUUACCCGGGAUGAUAAUGACAGUACCGGGAGAAUAAGCUCCGGCUAACUCCGUG